CCUUUUAUUUCUUUCUCACCCGUGCCCUAAACCCAUCCUCGCCCAACGCCGUCACCUCCCUUCCUUCUCGCGACCCUGAGCAACGCCGAGCACCUCUUCGCCUCCCCCAACCGACGCCACGUGACGCCUCUUCUCCCUCGAGUACAAAAGUCAUCGACGAAGGAAGGCUUCAAGCCUUCCCCUUGCGACGAUCCCCUUUUCCUCUUCCCCUCUGUUCCCCGACUCCUCCCUGUCUCAGUCCCCAUCGCGUCGCUGCCACCAUGUGUUGACCGUCGGCGUUGUCGUUCAUCCAUGCGACCAGCCGAUGCCGAGGUCCCUUCUUCUUCUUCUUCUCGAUUCUCCCUCUCCGAGUUGUGCCCUAGCAACGUGGUCUCGCCAACCAUCAGAGAUUUGAGUCCUCCUCACAACGUCUCUUCCCUGAUUCUCUAGCCGACGCCGCCACCUGAUUUCGCCGACACCAUAGAGCCACUGCAGAUCGCUUCUUGUUCAUCGUAGCUACACUUGGGGUCUCCUUUGAGCAGUUGCGAAACUAGUUAAGGGCACUAUUUGAUGGCAACAAUCCACAACUCCCGGCCAACCAACGUCCCCUGUCUUCGCUCACACUCACAGAGUUUCUUCCCUCAUGCUCCUUAACGGCCAGAUUCGAGCUUCAUCUAGCUCCAGCCCUACCUUGUGGCAAACUGGUAGCAAACUUCUCCGGUCGUGAAUCAGUAGGGGUACAUCUGAGGAUUUGGUUGAGGCUGUCAGGAGGUUCCGAUCGCCAGUCCCCCACCUCGUGUAGAUAUGGUUUUCUACUUUCAGACUUUGUUUCUUUGUUUUGUGAUCUACAUACUUGUGAUGUGUAGAUAAUGUACUCGUGGAUUUUAUAUCGAGUUUUGGUCUACUACCCUUGUUUUCCACUGUGAUGAUUUUUCGUUGUGGGUUGUGUUCUCCUCGAGUAGUGGAGUAGGUUUUAUAAUAAACUGCGUAUUGUGAUUUGUUGUGUAGUCAGUCGGAGGCUGAUUUAUUAUAAACGAUGUGGAUUGUUUGUUUAUAUUAUUGCAUAUGUUCCGGCUGUGUUGGCUGA